rnacentral:rRNA from 1 species
CCUACGGGAGGCAGCAGUGGGGAAUAUUGGACAAUGGGGGGAACCCUGAUCCAGCCAUGCCGCGUGUGUGAAGAAGGCCUUAUGGUUGUAAAGCACUUUAAGCGAGGAGGAGGGUACUGGUAUUAAUACUACCAGCUACUGGACGUUACUCGCAGAAUAAGCACCGGCUAACUCUGUGCCAGCAGCCGCGGUAAUACAGAGGGUGCGAGCGUUAAUCGGAUUUACUGGGCGUAAAGCGUGCGUAGGCGGCUAAUUGAGUCGGAUGUGAAAUCCCCGAGCUUAACUUGGGAAUUGCAUUCGAUACUGGUUAGCUAGAGUGUGGGAGAGGAUGGUAGAAUUCCAGGUGUAGCGGUGAAAUGCGUAGAGAUCUGGAGGAAUACCGAUGGCGAAGGCAGCCAUCUGGCCUAACACUGACGCUGAGGUACGAAAGCAUGGGGAGCAAACAGGAUUAGAUACCCUGGUAGUC